AGUCUGUAUUAACGAGAGUGUUGUGAGUAAAACCCAGGAGGUCAUUGUCUGGCCCUGGUGAGACCUCAGUUGGAGAACUGGGUGGGGAAAGGGCAUCACACUUUAGGAGAGAAGUGGCCAAAUUGGAGAGAGUCCAGAAAAAAACAACAAACAUGAUAAAAGGUUUAGAAACCCUGAUCUAUGAGGCCAGGUUAAAAAAAAAAGGGCACAUUGAGUCCUGAGAGAAGAAGACCGAGAGUGGGGACCUGAUAGUCUUCAAAUAUGUUACAAAGAGGACGAUGAUCAAUUGUUCUCUGGUCCUGCUGAAGGCAGGAGAAGAAGAAAUGGGAUUAAUCUUCAACAAGGGAGAUUGAGGGCAUGGGCUCGGGGAUCGAGGGGACCAAGGUGCUGAUGGCCAAAGGCAUGUCCUGCCUGACCUACAACUCCCUCUGCUUACCUGAUGACAUCCACGAGCGCGGGGUUGACUGCAUCCCCAACUACUACUACAGGGAUGAUGGGCUGAAGAUCUGGUCGGCCAUUGAGAGCUUCGUCUCCGGCAUCGUCAGACACUAUUACCGCAGCGACG